rnacentral:rRNA from 1 species
AGUGAACGCUGGCGGUAGGCCUAACACAUGCAAGUCGAACGGCAGCACAGUAAGAGCUUGCUCUUACGGGUGGCGAGUGGCGGACGGUUGAGGAAUACAUCGGAAUCUACUUUUUCGUGGGGUAUAACGUAGGGAAACUUACGCUAAUACCGCAUACGACCUACGGGUGAAACCAGGGGAUCUUCGGACCUUGCGCGAUUGAAUGAGCCGAUGUCGGAUUAGCUAGUUGGCGGGGGAAAGGCCCACCAAGGCGCCGAUCCGUAGCUGGUCUGAGAGGAUGACCAGCCACACUGGAACUGAGACACGGUCCAGACUACUACGGGAGGCAGCAGUGGGGAAUAUUGGACAAUGGGCGCAAGCCUGCUCCAGCCAUACCGCGUGGGUGAAGAAGGCCUUCGGGUUGUAAAGCCCUUUUGUUGGGAAAGAAAAGCAGCAGGUUAAUACCCCGCUGUUCUGACGGUACCCAAAGAAUAAGCACCGGCUAACUUCGUG